CAAGAACCUUACCAAGUCUUGACAUCCUUCUGACCGUUCCUUAGCCGGAACUUCUCUUCGGAGCAGAAGAGACAGGUGGUGCAUGGUUGUCGUCAGCUCGUGUCGUGAGAUGUUGGGUUAAGUCCCGCAACGAGCGCAACCCUUAUCCUUAGUAGCCAGCGGUUCGGCCGGGCACUCUGGGGAGACUGCCGGAGAUAAUCCGGAGGAAGGUGGGGAUGACGUCAAAUCAUCAUGCCCCUUAUGACUUGGGCUACACACGUGCUACAAUGGCGGUAACAAAGGGAAGCAACCUCGCGAGAGUGAGCAAACCCCAAAAAUGCCGUCUCAGUUCGGAUUGUUGUCUGCAACUGACUACAUGAAGCUGAAUUUGAUAUAAUGGCAAUCAGAAUGCGCCGUGAUA
rnacentral:rRNA from 1 species